ACGUAGGGUGCGAGCGUUAAUCGGAAUUACUGGGCGUAAAGCGUGCGCAGGCGGUUUUGUAAGCCAGAUGUGAAAUCCCCGGGCUUAACCUGGGAAUGGCAUUUGGGACUGCAAGGCUGGAGUGUGGCAGAGGAGACUGGAAUUCCUGGUGUAGCAGUGAAAUGCGUAGAUAUCGGAAGGAACAUCAGUGGCGAAAGCGACUUCCUGGACCAAUACUGACGCUCAUGUGCGAAAGCGUGGGGAGCAAACAGGA
rnacentral:rRNA from 1 species